UGUGUAGGCGGAUUAAUAAGUCAGUGGUGAAAACCUGCAGCUUAACUGUAGAACUGCCAUUGAUACUGUUAGUCUUGAGUACGGUCAAGGUAGGCGGAAUGUGUAAUGUAGCGGUGAAAUGCUUAGAUAUUACACAGAACACCGAUUGCGAAGGCAGCUUACUGGACCAUUACUGACGCUGAGGCACGAAAGCGUGGGGAGCGAACAGGAUUAGAUACCCUGGUAGUCC
rnacentral:rRNA from 1 species